rnacentral:lncRNA from 1 species
GACCAACAUCCAGUUCUACAAAAUUAAUUUAAUUCUAUUUUCCUAUUGUUUCUUAAAAGAAGAUCUGAACACAUUGUUACACACACGACCCUCAGGAACACUUCAUCUUCAUCUCUCACGAACAUGAUCCCGUUCAUCUCAGAUUUCGAUUCCAAAAGUAGAAACUCCGAUUCCGAUUUCGUUCAUCUUCAUCUCAGAUUCACGAACACGUUCAUCUUCAUUGAGCACGAAUCCCUCAAAAUCACUC